CCUUGGUUACUCGGCGGAGCCGUUACGCUGGGGGCGUGGCAGUCGUCGAUGUAUCCGAAGAGCUGAAGUCCCUCUCCUCGACCAUGGA
rnacentral:tRNA from 1 species